AUGUCGUCGUCGGUGAUGGAGGAGGCCUCCUACUUCUCGUUGGGGCCGGAGCUGGCCAUGGUUGAAGGAGGUGGGGCAGAAUUUGCUUUGGAAACAAAGAGAAGGGGCGCUGGAGCUCUGAGGAUCUACGUGAGCGGGAGGUGGACGGAGGCGUGGGAUGUUGGCUGUGCUAGCUCCUCCCUUUAUAGACUGUUGAUAGGCCUGGGAUUCCUUUUUCCACCCUGUUGGCUUCUCCACUUCCCGAUAUGGCCACGACGUUAUGAGCAGAGAGGGGAAUCGAAAUCAAUGACCGUAUCCCCCGAAAAGCAGGACGCCAUCUCCACCUUGAGGGGACGUAUUGAACGUGGCGUUGGCCUCUAG
rnacentral:rRNA from 1 species